rnacentral:rRNA from 1 species
UACAGAGGUGGCAAGCGUUGUUCGGAAUUACUGGGCGUAAAGGGCGCGUAGGCGGCCCACUAAGUCAGACGUGAAAUCCCCCGGCUUAACCUGGGAACUGCGUCUGAUACUGGAGGGCUUGAGUAUGGUAGAGGCAAGCGGAAUUCCUGGUGUAGCGGUGGAAUGUGUAGAUAUCAGGAAGAACAUCUGUGGCGAAGGCGGCUUGCUGGGCCAUCACUGACACUGAGGGACGAAAGCGUGGGGAGCAAACGGG